GCCCCCGCUCCCGCGCUGCCCGGGCGGACGGGACCGUUCCUGUCGGAUUCCGGCGAACCUGUAAUGAAUGACAGGACGAUCGAGCUCCUUGUGUAGCUAACUAGGUCACUGACAGCACUUAAUUACUGUUUGUUUCAUUUUAGUGCGUGCCUUAUGAAUAAACCGGCUAUUAGGCUGAUGCUUCAAGUAACAUUAUCCAGCACCAAGGUACAAAAUGUCUGUAUUGGACUCUGAUCUUGCGAUGCCAGCUUGAUGAAAAGUUGAUGGAGAAUCCUGUGACUCAUGGCAUUAAGGAGACAUUGAAGAAGAUAACAACCAGAAGGAAUGAGGCUCCUUCGUGUCCUGAAUCCUUCUCAGGAAGGGACCGUGUAACAAUGUACAGAACAAGUUAAUUGAGGAAGCUAUGGAAGUACGGUGAUCAGAAAAUGUGCAAUGGUCUCUGAUGUACAGAGGUACUGUCUACAAGCACUAAUGUCUCUGCUGGUUUUCCUCCAUCAUCUUGUCUGCUAUUUAUUUUUGAUCCUAGUGGUUUAAUCAGUUCUACGUGGACUGAAUACUUCAUAUACCUGGAGUUCACGGAGGGCUACAGCAGCAGGUUGCAAGAGGCUCAUGCAGAGUCCAGCUGGGAACUGGCAUGUUGUGUCUGUGUAGCCCUUUGCUCUCUGCAUCUGUAGAGAAGGAGAGUAAUUGGACAAAGCAGAGUCUUGCUAUACCAACAGGCAUGGAAAAGCCGGGAAAUUUUUCUGUAUAGAGAGAUGGAGGGACCACAGCUGCUUGAUUCGGAAAGCAAAUAAAAAAGGUAAAUGUAUGAAUAGAGUCAAUAUGGAGUGGAAGAUGCACAAAAUAAUAAAUGUUAUAGAAAAUCAAGGUCUCCUACUUAUUCCUGAACAUAAUGCCAAAACAAGGCAAUUUGAAAUGGAAGUGAAAAGCAGCAUAUCCUGAGUGGUAUAUUAUUAAUUUAUGGUAUUGAUUGGCACAUCAAAAUGAAGGAUUUAGUAAAAAUAAAAGCAAGAAGAAGUCUGUGUAUGGAUAAUAAGAAGAUCUAAACCUGUUAGACAGCACUGGAUGACACAAGCCAGGGAAACAAAAGGCAGGGCCUUAAUUAAUUGGCAGUAGAUUUCUUGUCCCUUCAUUUUGUCAGUAAUCAGAACAGGAGUUUCAGAUGGCCAGAUCAUUUCUCUGGUCAUGCGUUGCAAUGCUGUGCAGACAAGCUUACACGUGAUUUUGCUAAAAUGCUCAGAAAGGCUUUUGUGUAUCCACAUUUCCAGUUAAAAUACAUUUAGUGUGACUUCAAUUGCAUGUGCCAUGGACAGCUUGGUGUCAGCUGCAGCUGCUUUUCACAGCCUAAGAAGUAUUAAGGAAUGUGAACUUGACAAGAAACAACUGAAGAGGAGUACACUCAUUCCUAAGGGCUUCAGCAGCAGUGCGGAUGGAGACUGCCAUGCCCUUGCUUUUUACUGAGUGGUUCACUCACAGUACACCUGGGUUUGUAAUCCAGCAAGCCCCAGAAAUUGUGUAAAUGCAUCUUUUGUGCCUGGCCUGAGUAUCUGGUGGGUUCCUUACUGCCCAGCAAACACCUACAGACUUGGCUGCCGUUUGGGAAAAGGAAAGGAUCAAGGCAAUUCCUGGGACAUUGCAGGGACUAAGCCCCAGAGAUGACAGUGGAUCCCUGCUCCCAAGCCUGUGGUUCAGAGAUUCAGUCCUCGAGUGAAGAAGUCCAAGAGGGCAGCUCUAAAGUGUUGAUAUUCUGGUGAAUCCUAUGGAGUGCCUGGUACAGAGGAAAGUUCUGCUGCUCCUCUGGUGGUGGAUAUGUUCAUGUUAUCAUUCUGCAGCUGUUCACUCUAUGGGAAGUUGUUGCACUCACUGCUGUGCCCCUCCGAGUUCUCCAUGAUGAUUACUUUGGGUGGUUCACCACAUCCCAGUGUCAAUCAAAAUGGAUCAGAAAGAUGACAUCUGAAAAGUGCCAUUUUUCUCUGUAAAUUACAAAGGGAUCCUGAGGUGGCUUGCUCAAACAUAGAUGUCUACUGUACAGAGCCCUAUAACUUGGGGAGUUUAUAUUUGAGAAAAAAAAUCCUCACCAAUGUCCUGUUUCAUCGUGACUGAAUGGAGAUGCACCUUCUUGACCUGGAAGGCAAUACACCCAGGUUCUUUUGUGUCAGUCAGAUUAAAAGAGGAAAAAGAUGACUCUUCUGAUCUUUCUGCAAAGUACAUUUCCAGAGGCUUUUGGAGAAACUCAUCCUUCCUUGAAAUGCACUUGACUGAGAAGAUACUUUGAAAAUAUAAAGUGCAAACAACUCCUCCAGUGGUUUUGCUGGAGAAAAAGGAGCAGGAGGAAUUCAUCAUACUUGGCUAUACUGAGCAUGGAAUGCCUUCUUUGGAAAACUAUCUGCAUCAAGAAUAGCUGUGUUGCAACUUACGUUCCUGCAAUGAAAAUUUUUAAAAAGAUCAGUUUAGACUUAUCUGUAAGAAUUUUACAAAUUUUGACUAAAUGUAACAUUUCCAUUAAUGUGUUUCCAGUAUGUUGAGGAUAACUCAUUAGAUAACAUGAGCUUAAGGGAUCUGUGAACUGAAUGAUGGAGGUUCUUGAAGUAAAGUAGUAAAUAUCUUUUUCAGACUAUGUGUUUACAGUUUUCUAACCCUUCCAGUGUUGGGCAAUCAAAAAUUUUAUCUACAGUUUACCCUGACUUUUCAAGUCAUAAUCCUGUUUAAGUCCAGACAACAGGAAUAAAUGAAAUCAAUACAAAGAGCCACA